GAUGAACGCUAGCUACAGGCCUAACACAUGCAAGUCGAGGGGCAGCGGGAAGGAAGCUUGCUUUCUUCGCCGGCGACCGGCGCACGGGUGAGUAACGCGUAUCCAACCUGCCCACCACUUGGGGAUAACCUUGCGAAAGUAAGACUAAUACCCAAUGAUAUCCCACGAAGGCAUCCGAAUGGGAUUAAAGAUUUAUCGGUGAUGGAUGGGGAUGCGUCUGAUUAGCUUGUUGGCGGGGUAACGGCCCACCAAGGCUACGAUCAGUAGGGGUUCUGAGAGGAAGGUCCCCCACAUUGGAACUGAGACACGGUCCAAACUCCUACGGGAGGCAGCAGUGAGGAAUAUUGGUCAAUGGACGGAAGUCUGAACCAGCCAAGUAGCGUGCAGGACGACGGCCCUAUGGGUUGUAAACUGCUUUUAUGAAGGAAUAAAGUCACCCACGUGUGGGUGUUUGCAUGUACUUUAUGAAUAAGGACCGGCUAAUUCCGUGCCAGCAGCCG
rnacentral:rRNA from 1 species